AACUGGGUGGCUUCUGGAAAACAGCUUCCCAAAAAGUAUCAUGUGGGAAAGACUACUUGAAAGGACUGAAAGCCAUAUCUAGUUUGGAAGGGGUUCCCAUAAGUAAACAUCAAGUAAGAUGCAGCAUGUCAUAUUUUUAUCCAUUUCACACUCAAGAUGAAGUUCCCAAGGAUCCCUUCUGUAGCUGCUUCACCGUAUAUACCCUUCCUCAUUCAGCCCAUCCCAAAACAAAUUCUGACAAUGACACAUGAGCUGCAUGUAGCUGACCAGCCUACCAGAUCUUUUAUGCAGUUCGACAUACAAGGUGACACCAAGGUAAGACAAAUGAAGUUCCAGUUUGGGUGCCUCCAUCUCCCUCCCCUGGAUCCUGAUCCAGUGACUGCCAAAACCAGAAAGAACUGGGGUAGGGUGCUUGAUCAUGGGGAACGCUGUUGUGGUUCGUCCGGCAGAUGGGAAAAGGGAAAGGUUUCACUUCUUCACAAUUUGAAUGACAUCCUCAUCCUCCAACGUAUGGUCUUUACCCACUUUCUGAGGAUUGUGUUUCACAGAGAGACCCCAGACCAGAGCACUGCAUGGAAGGGAAAAAGAACAGUCAGUGUAAAUAAUAACCUAGCUUCUGCCCUAUUUGCCUG
rnacentral:lncRNA from 1 species